GAACAAAAUUAAAAAAAGGUUUAUACCCUUUUUAAAAUAACUCACUAUUCAUAUUUGCUGCUUAACAAACCGUUGAAAUCAAGGCAGCAAAUGUUUCAUACUUGUGAUUUAAUCUUGUCCUUAGUCCUCUCUGUUGAGGAUUAUAUUUCCACAGCCCAAGGUCAUGCCUGGAUGGGCAGACAUUUUGAUCUUGUCAAAUCACAUCUCUAAUAAAAUCUUCU